rnacentral:lncRNA from 1 species
UGCACAAGACUUGUGAAGAAAAUGAAGAAAAUCCACAGAACAUGCCAAAGGCUGAGGGAGUCCAUCCUUGGAAAGGUGUCCCCCAGGAGGCAGAAAGAAGUCUCAGCCCUCCUAAAAAGGUAUAAGCCAGGAAGCAGAAGGAAACCCCAGACGAAGGCUGACUGGGCCUGGCUGGGGAUUUAAAGAGGAUGCUCCCUUUAGGCAUUUGGAUCCUGGAGAAAUGAUAAGAGCAGAUGAGUUGGAAAGACUUAGGGAAGAGAUAGGAAGAACAAGAACAAGUUGGUGAAGAUGCAGUGGAGGCAAAGACAUUCUCACAGCAAGCCAUAGCCUGUGUGCUUUAGGC